rnacentral:rRNA from 1 species
GUCCUAUAGUUUUUAUUUUAGGUCUGACCUGCCCGUUGAUUAUUGAAAAAUUGAAAGGCCGCAGAAUUUUGACUGUGCAAAGGUAGCAUAAUCACUAGUCUUUUAAUUGAAGGCUUGUAUGAAUGGUUGGACGAGGUGCUGUCUGUUUCAUAUUUAUAUAUUGAAUUUUAUUUUUGAGUUAAAAAGCUUAAAUUUUUUUAAAAGACGAGAAGACCCUAUAGAUCUUUAUAGUUGUUAUGUUGUAGUUUAUUUUGGAUUUAUUAAUUAUUUACAGUUUAUAUACUAUUUUGUUGGGGUGACACAUGAAUUUAUUCAACUUUCUGAAUUUUUAAUACAUUUAUUUUUGUUUAUUUGAUCCUUUUUUAAGAUUAUUAGAUUAAGUUACCUUAGGGAUAACAGCGUAAUUCUUCUAGAGAGUUCAUAUCGAUAGAAGAGGUUGCGACCUCGAUGUUGGAUUAAGAUUUAUUGCUGGGCGCAGCAGUUCAGCUAUAAAGUCUGUUCGACUUUUAAAUUCUUACAUG